UCCGAAUUGGUGUAGUGGCUAACAUUUGACGCUCUCAUGUCUGAACAACAUCAGAACCGUCAAGCCCGGGGUUCGAUUCCCCGAUUCGGAG